AACGUAGGUUCCGAGCGUUAUCCGGAUUUACUGGGCGUAAAGCGCGUUCAGGCGGUUCGGCAAGUCGGGCAUGAAAUCUCUCGGCUCAACCGGGAGAGGUUGUCCGAUACUGCUGGACUUGAGGCAGUAGAGGGUGGUGGAAUUCCGGGUGUAGUGGUGAAAUGCGUAGAUAUCCGGAGGAACACCAGUGGCGAAAGCGGCCACCUGGACUGUACCUGACGCGUCAAACGGCGAAAAGCAUAGGGGAGCGAACGGG
rnacentral:rRNA from 1 species